GUAGAUAUUCGCAUAAGAGUAAAAGGAAGUGAAGGUCUGUUUUGUAUGGUGGCAACGAUUAAAAGGUUACUAUUUUGUUUCUCGUGGCGACAUUAUUUGCUGUUUUAGUCGCCAGUCAGUGCUUUUGCCCUGCAUUGCGCUUUGGCUCCAUUGUUGUGUAGCAGUUUAAUUGUAGCACGUGUGAGAUUCGAUAGUGAUACACAUUGAUUUUAUUAAUUUUAGUAAUUAAGACUUGGAGAAUCUAUUAAAUCUCUUAUGAUGAAGGCUUUAGUUAUGAUUCGGGGAAUCAAUGUUGAAAUAUUUGAAACCCCAUCUUCCUGAUGUAAAUACUGGGUCAAACGUGCAGCUUGAAAGCUUUCCUGGAUUUAAAAUUAAAGGUUUAAUGGAGUAUAUCAAGGAGUUUAGUGGUUUUUAUGUGAUUGUACUACAUAUUGGUUCUAAUGAUUGCUCUGUGGAUUGUUGAAUAUAACAGAAUAUGAAAAAUUGCUUCAAGAAAUUUUGUUGAACAAUCCUGGCUGUGAAAUUUUUACAAAUGUAGAAAUAUGGCAGUAAACUUAAAUAACUUUGAAUAAUAAGUUUUAAAUGGUAUAGUAUAGAAAAAUGUUCAUUAAUGUUUUUGCCUAUUAAUUGUUGUUUUAGGAGAUUUAUAAAUGGUGUUCUACUGUAUAGUGUCAUGACCAUUUUAACCAACAAUAAGUUGUAGUACCUGAAGAUUUUAUAAGAUCCAUAACAUUCUUUAUUUAACCUUUUUUGAUAAAUUUGAACAAGUGUGCCAUUCUUGUUUAAGAAUUUUAUAAAAUAAAGUAAUAUAAGGCAUAAGAUAUUUAUAAAAUGUAAACCUUUCUUCCCUUCAACUUUUAGGAUAGCAUCUAAAAAAAUUUAAAGAUUUAAGUGAGAAAAAGUAUUAAAUGGUCAUGGCGCAAAAGGAAUAUAUGCCUCUUGGGGAACCCGCCUUGCUAUAUGUUGUUAGGUUGUUCCAUAUUGAGUUAAAUUAUGGUGUACUUAUUACUUGUUCCUGGUUUUCUAUUUACAAUGUUAAAUUAUAAAAAUUUUGAACCAUAGUCAAUGUGGUUUUAUAAUCAGUUUUUAAAUAUGUUUUUGGAACAACCUAAUAAAAGGGGUCAACGCAUCUGUGCAACCAUACCUCUUGAACAGGGCUGUAUUUACAGUGUUAAAAGUUUUUCAUUUUAGAAAAUUUCAAAAGUAAACUGAAAAUAAAUAUUUUGAAAGUUUCACUUCAAAAAAGCAUAGAGAGUGCACAGCCCUGCUCUUAGGUGAUGUGGAAAAUGGUUGUAAUCAUGCAUGUUUUAAAAGUUGAAUUUCAGGUUUGUUCUUUUCAUUAUUCUGAGGAGAGCCUCAGAAGCCAAAUUUACAAGCAUUUACUUAGCCUAGUGAUGAAAAGUUGGAGCAGCCUGUCAUUAUUAAGCAUCUUGUCUGUUCUAAGUGAUGAAAGUUGGUUCAAUCAGCUGUAUAUUCAAAUCUAUUUCAUUUUUGAAAGAAGAGCAUGUUAUAAACUUCAGUGUUACCUUUUAAAGGGCAACAUUGUUUCUAAAAUGUGUUUGUAUGUCAUAUUUAAGCUGUGUAUAAUAAAACUAUCGUGUUUUGUUUUUGUUCAA
rnacentral:lncRNA from 1 species